UCUUUGCGGUGGAUUUAUUUUAAAACCAAUCAGAGAUCAAAAUCGGACAGCCAAUCAGCGUUUUUCUGCCAUUGUCGCUGACGUAUGUCGUCAUUGGCUGCGACGUGUCUCAUCAUUGGCUACGGACUUGUGGGAGGAGCGUAGAGAGGCGGAGAAACGAAGCCGGGAAACAGAUUUAAACCAAGUUUGAAACAUUGCUUCGGUUUGCCAGUACUGUGAGAAAACGUCGUCACCGAAGAGGCCAGGAUGCUAAAACAAACACUGGAGCUGCUUUUUUGUCGAACAGGAGUGAGACUGGACGAUGCACACACGCGGCGCGAAGGUUUACUGAUUCAGCUGCUGCAGCCUGGACAGAAACACCAGCUCUCACCUUACAAACCAAACAGGUGUCACCACUUCGUCCACAAUCACAGAGUGUCUUUGUACAAUGAUGAAGUUCUUUGAGACCAGGACUGAGGCCUCCAGGUUUCAAACUUUAACCAUCAAAUCAUAGAGAGAAGGGACAGAUGUGAAGACAUUUCCAGAAGGUCUUCAGCUGCUGUCGUCUUCUCCUCCUGCAGAGACAAGAACAUGUGUUAAACACAGAAACUGAUCAGUAAAUCUAUUUUUCCUUUGCUAAACUGACCUUAUUCAUUGUUGAUACCUACUUACGGUGAUUUAAACUAAACAUUUUAUAAUUCAUUCAGUAUCACAUAUCUUAGUUUGUUUUUCUUAUUAUUACAGUCACAGUAAUGACUAGAAAUAGUUCUGGAACUAUAAAAUAAAAACCUACUAUAAUUAUUACAUAGAUAUAAACAUGAACCAUGUAAUAAAUGCAAGCAUUUUAACUGUACUGUUACUAAAAUUAUUUUUACUUGAUAAAUUACAUCUUUUAAUGACAUUUUUCACCGCAUUUUAUACUAUGGCCUUUUUAAUGAUAUUUAAUAUUUGUACUCAAAUCCAAACUAUUACUGUGUACAUAACCCUGUUUAUACUGUUGUCUUUGCUACUGCAACACUGAAUUUCCCUGCUAUGGCACUAAUAAAGCAUUAUCUUACUCAAAUAAAUACUU